UACAGAGGGUGCUAGCGUUGUUCGGAAUCAUUGGGCGUAAAGGGCGUGUAGGCGGUUUGUUAAGUCUUGCGUGAAAUCUCGGGGCUCAACCCCGAGCGGUCGUGAGAAACUGGCAGGCUAGAGUGCGGGAGAGGAGAGUGGAAUUCCUGGUGUAGCGGUGAAAUGCGCAGAUAUCAGGAAGAACACCCGUGGCGAAGGCGGCUCUCUGGACAGUUCCUGACACUGAGGCACGAAGGCCAGGGGAGCAAACAGG
rnacentral:rRNA from 1 species